UUAGAUUCAGUGCUAGCUAUCAAGGUAAUCUGUCUGACCUAGAAAAUAUGAUUAGGCAAAUUAGGAAAGAAACUGAUCAGGAAUUUAAUCGUAAUGUUAAACCAGUGGCCUUGCAACCUACUCUUGAAUUAAGUUCAC